CGUAACGGUAACCACGCUCGUUUCCGCACCCAGUUGCAGGUACCGCCCGCCCGAGCGCUCCCUACCAGCUGCCAUCCCGCAGCGCUCCGUACGGCAGACGCCGGGAGCAGAGAGCGGCGCUCGGCCGCCCGCCUCCCAACGUCCCGCUAUCCGCUCGCCCGGCUCCGUCACCCCGCUAACCGGCCGACUUUACCGGCGCCGAGGGGAAGCAAACAGGCUCCCGCUCGGCGGCGGUACGGCCGCGUUGCACCCGGCCUUCCCGGAGCUCGGCCGCGUCGCUUCCCGUCGGGAACGGCAGCGACCGGAGCCGCGUCGGCCUCGCCCCGGGCGGCAGCACCGGAGCACCGGGAGCCCGGGAGGCUCCGGGAACGCUCCUCGCUUCCGCUAUCAAAGGCGGCCGCCGGUUUCUCGCAACUUAGCGGCAUUCCCGAGGAACGCGGCCGGCCGCCGUUCCAUUGUUUCCGAAGUAGUUCGACCCCGUACCGGCGCAGCCCGACCGCGCUCCGGGCGGAGGAAGCGCGGCCGGGGAGCGCCGGGCCGGGCCGGGAGGGCGACUCGGUAACGGCGGGGAGCUCCGCCGACCCCUCCCCGGCCCGACCCUCCCCCGCCGCCCCCGUUCGGCCGUUCCGUCCCGUCUCCGCCGCAGAAGCCGCGCCGUCCAACUUUUCCCUCCCCCUUGGAAGCGCCACUUCCUUUGAACGCGCUCCGUCUGCGAACAAAGGCGGCCCGGCCCGGCCCCUCCGCAGCUCCCGGCACGGCCGCCCCGCGGGUCGCGCUCCCCGCGGCUCCUACCGGGAGCAACUUUUCCGGGGCCGGCCUCCUCGGCGCUGCCGCGACCGCGACUUUGUCUGCUUUGGACACUACGGUGCUGCCGACUCCCGAAAAUUUUCCACUCGAACGUGCGGCGAAGCGGCGGCUCUGGACAAGGAGACGCGGCGGCGGCGAGAGCGGCAUCGCUGCCUCCAUCCCCCGAGGGGCUGCGCGCGGCCGGGGGCAGCGCAACGCGAGCCGCCAACUUCCCGCGGAUAA
rnacentral:lncRNA from 1 species